AACUCUUUUCUCUUCUUCCUCCUCCUCUUUCCUAUCCCCGUGUUUUUUCUCAGCUUUUCCUUUUUCUCUGUUUUGCUUCAACGACCAGCACCCAUCGUCGUUUUGUUGUUAUUUUUUUCUUCUUUUUGCAGAUAGAGCUCUGUGUUCUGCUUCUGUCUGCGUUUUGAGCUUAUACUUCUCGUUUGGAGAUUUGUUUUCUUUUUUUUUUUAAAUUUUUGUUUUUGUUGGUUCUCGCGAUGAACGGAAACGAAGGAGCGGCGGAAGAGACGAAGGUGGAGGAGGAGAAGAAGGAGGAAGAGUGCAAGGAGAAAAUGGUGUACAUGUGGGGCUACCUUCCCGGAGCCUCGCCGGAGAAAACUCCGAUACUGUCUCCGGCGUCGGUAAGCCUCUCUGAUCCCUCCAUCGCCGGAGAUUCCUGGAAAGACGUUUGUGGCGGCGGUUGUGGAUUCGCCAUGGCCAUUUCAGAGAAAGGGAAGCUGGUGACGUGGGGCUCCGCGGAUGAUGAGAGCCAGAGUUAUUUGACGUCGGGGAAGCGUGGGGAGACUCCAGGAGCUUUUGAGCUCCCCACUGAUGCUGCAGUGCUGAAGGCUGCUGCUGGUUGGGCUCAUUGCGCCUCGGUCACUGAAGAAGGUGAAGUCUAUGCAUGGGGAUGGAAAGAAUGUGUGCCUUCUGGUAAAGUUAUUACUGAUUUCAUAGCUGCAGGAAGCCUGCAAAAGGAUAUUUCUGGGAAACAAAGCUCAUCAAUAGCUGAUCAAGGAAGCCCACAAAGCUCAAACACAAGUAGUGGGUCAGACUCUCAUCAUGACAACAAGAAAGCUGGAGAGGAAGCUAUUAAGAGAAGAAAAAUCUCAUUUGCGAGACAGGAAUCCGACAGUCCAGCAUCUGGAGAUGAAUUCUUUACUGUUUCACCUUCUCUUAUUACCCUUGGGCCUGGGGUCAAGAUUACCUCUGUAGCAGCUGGUGGGAGGCAUACACUAGCACUGUCAGAUGUGGGACAGGUUUGGGGUUGGGGCUAUGGAGGUGAAGGACAGCUAGGUUUGGGUUCUCGAGUGAAGAUGGUGUCAUCUCCUCACGUUAUACCUUGUAUGGAGUCCACUUCUGGGAAAGAUAGGUCAUCAACUGCUCAUCAAGGAAGUGGCGCUGGGGCACAAGUAUCAAAGGUUCCUGGAAGUUAUGUGAAGGAAAUUGCUUGUGGAGGUCGGCAUAGCGCUGUUGUGACAGAUGCUGGGGCACUCCUUACUUUUGGCUGGGGCCUGUAUGGUCAGUGUGGACAAGGGAAUAAUGCUGAUCAACUGAGACCAACCCUAGUUCCAUCUUUAUUGAGUACUACUGUGGAAAAAAUUGCAGCGGGACUUUGGCAUACAUUGUGUGUUACUGUAGAUGGUCAUAUUUAUGCAUUUGGUGGGAAUCAGUUUGGACAAUUGGGUACUGGUAGUGAUCAGCCUGAGACCUUGCCUAAACAGUUGGAAGCUUCCCGUUUUGAGAAUAAGCAUUCUAGUAUGGUUUCUUGUGGGGCUCGUCAUAGUGCUUUGCUAACAGGUAUUUCCUUCCCGUUUUGAGAAUAAGCAUUCUAGUAUGGUUUCUUGUGGGGCUCGUCAUAGUGCUUUGCUAACAGAGGAUGGUCACCUAUUUACUUGGGGAUGGAACAAAUAUGGCCAGCUUGGUUUGGGAGAUUCUACUGACCGAAAUGUCCCUUGUCAAGUUCUUAUUGCCGGUUGCCGACCUAGAAAUGUUGCCUGUGGUUGGUGGCAUACACUGCUGGUGGCUGAUAAGAACCUGGUUUGACUCAAUAUGCCCAUUAGCAUUGACAGGGUUGCACAGUUUUGAUAGGUUACUGACUAAUCGACAUUUCUCUAGUGGAAUGUAGAUAUGUCCAGAAUCAACCAGCAUGUUUCUUGGUUUGUUUCCUCUUCUCUAUUUCUGUCUACCUGAUUUUCCUGUCUUGAUUUCCAUUUCUAGAUUUCUAGGUGUAGCUUGGCACUAACUUGGAAGUGCUUGAAGUGUUCUUAGUUUUCAUACACAAGACAAUAAAAGAGUGUUAAACGAUUGAUUGUAAUUUAUAGCGCCCAUGGCGCCCUUUAUUUGUGAAGGAAGUUUCCAUUUUAGGGCACAGCUUGAGCUUUAGUGA